rnacentral:rRNA from 1 species
AACGAACGCUGGCGGCAUGCCUAACACAUGCAAGUCGAACGAAACCACCGGGUCUUGUGGCGCCCGACUUCGUCACGCGUCGGAACCUUCCCUUAGGUUCGGCCUACCUCCCCGACAGGGGUGCUAAUACCGGAUAAUGUCUUCGAACCGAUGAUUUAUCGACUUUGGUUGGUCCAGAGUUGGAUUCGCUAGUUGGUAGGGUAAAAGCCUACCACGGCGACGAUCCAUAGCUGGUCAGAGAGGAUGCUUAGCCACACUGGGACGGAGACCCGGCCCAGAAUCCUACGCGAGGCAGCAGUGCGGAAUAGUGCAAAGUGGGGGAAAGCAAGAACCAGCAAUGAUGGGAGAGCGAUGAAGGUCGGAGGGUAGUAAAGCGCAUUUAACCGGGAAGAUAAUGACAGUACCGGGAGAAUAAGCCCCGGCUAACUACGUG